AAGUAAAUUUUUAUUAUUAAAAAAUUUAUAUUUAAAAAAAGUAUGAAGUAGAAUCAUUAAGACUUUUCUUAAAAGACAUUUAAUCUUUUUAAGAAAAUAUGAAUUAUUAUAUUCAUUAAAUCAAUUAAAAUUUAAUAAAUUAACUUUAUUAAAUAAAUUAAGUUUAUUAUUAAAUAAGAUUUUAGGUAAAAAAAUAGAAUAUAAUAUAAUAAAUCUAAAAUCUAUUAUAUUUA
rnacentral:tRNA from 1 species